rnacentral:rRNA from 1 species
CCUACGGGUGGCAGCAGUGGGGAAUAUUGGACAAUGGGCGAAAGCCUGAUCCAGCCAUGCCGCGUGUGUGAAGAAGGCCUUCGGGUUGUAAAGCACUUUCAGUGGGGAAGAAAGCCUUGGGGCUAAUACCCUCGAGGAAGGACAUCACCCACAGAAGAAGCACCGGCUAACUCCGUGCCAGCAGCCGCGGUAAUACGGAGGGUGCGAGCGUUAAUCGGAAUUACUGGGCGUAAAGCGCGCGUAGGUGGUUUGAUAAGCCGGUUGUGAAAGCCCCGGGCUCAACCUGGGAACGGCAUCCGGAACUGUCAGGCUAGAGUGCAGGAGAGGAAGGUAGAAUUCCCGGUGUAGCGGUGAAAUGCGUAGAGAUCGGGAGGAAUACCAGUGGCGAAGGCGGCCUUCUGGACUGACACUGACGCUGAGGUGCGAAAGCGUGGGUAGCAAACAGGAUUAGAUACCCUGGUAGUC